AAUAAGUGCAGUUUUGCACUAUUCACGUUUAACGUUUGACCGUUCGUCUUAUUUGAAUUUUUUUAUAAUUAGUAUUUUUAUUGCUAUUAGAUGAUAAACAUGAAUAGUACUUUAUAUGUGACUAAAUAUUUUCAAUUUUUUCAUAAAUUUUUUAAAUAAGACGGACGGUUAAACAUUGGGCACGGAUAUCCACGACUGUACUUAUU
rnacentral:pre_miRNA from 1 species